rnacentral:rRNA from 1 species
CCUACGGGAGGCAGCAGUGGGGAAUAUUGCACAAUGGGGGAAACCCUGAUCCAGCGACGCCGCGUGAGUGAAGAAGUACUUCUGUAUGUAAAGCUCUAUCAGCAGGGAAGUAAAUGACGGUACCUGAGGACUAAGCUCCGUCUAACUACGUUCCAGCUGCCGCGGUUAUACGUAGGGGGCAAGCGUUAUCCGGAUUUACUGGGGGUAAAGGGAGCGUAGACGGCAGUGCAGGUCUGGAGUGAAAGGCGGGGGCUCAACCCCCGGAGUGCUCUGGAAACUGUAAGGCUGGAGUGCAGGAGAGGUAAGUGGAAGUCGUAGUGUAGCGGUGAAAUGCGUAGAUAUUAGGAGGAACACCAGUGGCGAAGGCGGCUUACUGGACUGUAACUGACGUUGAGGCUCGAAAGCGUGGGGAGCAAACAGGAUUAGAUACCCGUGUAGUC